ensembl:snRNA U6 U6 spliceosomal RNA
GUGCUCACUUCAGCACACACACUAAAAUGGGAAGGAUGCAGACAUUAGCAAGGCCCCUGAGCAGAGAUGCCAUGCAAAUUCAUGAAGUGUUCCAUAUUUUU